AACUCAAAUUGGUUAGAGUAAAAGGCUAAUAACCUUUAAGCUGCAGGUUCGAUUCCUGCC
rnacentral:tRNA from 1 species